GCGGUCGGCGUUCCCGCCGGCUGGGGGUGGGCGCGGAGGCUGGUCGGGGUCGGCGUGCUUGCGGGAGGGGCGGGGGACGCGCGCGCAGCGGCAGAGUCAGAGCUCCCGCAACCGGGCGGGGCUGGCGCGCCCCCACCCGGACUCCGAGCCCUGGCCCAGGGAGGUGUCGCUGGCCCGCUGGACGCAGGCCGCUGGACAUCGCGGGGCAGCCGGGCGACGCUCCGCGAGCGUGUGUGGGCGGGGGCGGCCCCUCUCCGGGAAGGCUCGUGUCGCUUCUGCCCAGUGCGGUGGGAGCGUUUCCGACCCUGGGGCCGGCUGAGGGCGGCGAGGAGGCAGGGACCUUGCCCCUGGCACGUCGCGCCCUCUGCUCCGGGCUGCCUGUGGUCCUCGGCUCCCGGCCUCGCCUCGGGGCUGAGCCGUGAGCUCUCCCGUGGGUGGGGGAGGGAGGUCGGAGGGGGGCAGUGGUGGCGGGCCACAGGGAUCCCCGGCGACGGGUCCAUCUUUGCUCGUUCUGGACCCCUUUUUCCUCUGGGCGCAGGGCCGCUUCUUAUGUGGCUGCGCCACUGGGCCAAGACACUCCGCCAGGAUGCUCUCAGGCCCCCAGCUCACUCUGCAGCGGGGGUGGGACGGGGGUGGGGGGGGGGUCCGUUCCCAAAGCCAGCCUGAUCUGACCUCCGGGCCAGAGCCUAGGGGGCCGUUAGAACAAAGCCAGCAUCCUUAGCCUGAUGGCAAAGCCUUUCAUGGGUCCUCUCAGUAGAUAGUCCCUGGCUGGACCUGCACCACCCGCUCUGGGCAGCACCCCCCCCCCGCCCCCCGCCGUGUCCCUGCAUCCUGCCUGUCAUUGGCCAGGGAGGGAGACCACGCACAGCCCACGGGGAGCUGAAGACGCUGUGUUUUGCCCACAGGCCAGGGCUGCCUGGCCCUCCUCGCCUCCUCCCUUUGCCGGUUUAUUCCUCUCCUUGUAGAGACCUGCAGUUUGCUGAGUCUCUGCCACUUUCUUGUUUUUGAAAUAUACUUCACACAGUCACAACACACUUCCGGUGGGGAGCUAUGGCACCUGGCCUUGUCUCUCAGCCUUUCUCGGUGGCACCUGGGUGACAGUGGAGGAGGGCCCCAGAGGAAGAGGCUUCUUAACUUUAUAGUUGGGGAGGGGAGGGGAAGGAGCUGAGGGGAGGGGGAGGGGAGGAGGAGGGAGCUGAGACAGAAUGGCAGAGUGGCUGGGGUGGAGCUGGAUGGGAAUAGGGACCCUAUAAUGGCACCGGACACGCGGGAAAGGUCUGGGGGUGCAUUAGGCACCAUGUGAGUGUGCAGGGCAGGGGUAUGAGUGGAUGUGUGGCUGGUGUGUAUGAGUAUGCAUGUAAGUGUGUGUGUGUGUGUGUGCGCGUGUGUGUUUGUCUUCACAGUGUCAGGAUCAGGGUCAGACCUUGCCUGGUUUUCUGUAACAUCCAGAUGACGUGGGAGAGAUCAAUUUGGGAAGACUUUGGGGGCUCUUUUCCUUGGAGGCUGAAGGUGGGGCUCUGUGUGUGUCACAAAAUGUCCCCAGCCAAGGAGUGGUGGCAUCUGUGGGGUUCCAUGUUCCCCAGGGACAUGCAGUAGGUUCCUCUUCUGGAUCUGACCUCUGGAGGGCAGGAUGGGGGCCUUGGUGGCACUUUCUCAUCCUUUCCCCGUGCAGCACCUUGCUGGUGUCUUAGUCUCAGCUUUGGGCUUAUCCUGGAAGGGGGAGUGUGAAGUUCCUUUGGCACUUCAAAGGUGGCCCGUUCCCACCUUCCUGGAAGGGAACUGGAUGAAUCUCGGUCCCCACAAGAGGCAUACAUGUUAUCUUGGCCCUGCCCAUCUUCCUUGUUGAUUCCCUCCAGCAGGUCAGCCCUUGAGGACAGGGGAAUCCGUGUGCCCAGCACCCAGGCCACCUCUGGCCCAUGGCGGGUGCUCACCCAUGGCUGCUCACACUCCCUCCUUCAAUCCAGAACUGUGGGAGCCUGCUUUGUGUACACUGGACACCCACCGGAGCGGUCGGGGCCCGGGUCCCCACUGCAGCUGUGCCUGGCCCCGGCAUCCAGCACCCCACCACAGGCCUGCCGGCUCCAGGGUCCCCACACUGGCCGGGUUGGACCCCUGAAGGAAUGACCGAGUGAAGAGGUGGGAGAGUCCACACAGCACAGAGGCCCAGAUGCUCCAGGACAGAGUGGCGUCCACGCAAGUGACCCAGCCCUCCCGCAGUCAGGCACAUUUAGUUUUCCAGCCUUGGUUCCCGAAGUCCCUGGCUGAGCCCAGAGAGAAGGAAGGCCGGCACUGGUGAGUCCUUUGGAGGCCUCUGGUCACCGCUGCUGACGGAAGCUUGGUCGGUGCCCUGGGAAGGUGGCAUCCCCCAGCUGGGUAGGGGAGUAGGAAGGCCAGCAGGCAGGAGCAGCGGGUGUUGUGCCUCUCCCAGGGUGUAUGUGAACCUUUCCUACGUGCUCUCGGGGGAGUUUUCUCCUGGCCAGGACUGCUGAGGCUUGAGUUAUGAGCCCUUUGAGUUGGGGGCGGGGGGGCGCGCAUAUUUGCUGCUGUAUGUCUCCCGUCCUGUCCAGGGUCUGCACCCAAGUGUGAGCGUGGUUAGGCAGGUCCCGGUUGGGUCCCUGGCCGAGGAAGGCGGCGUCCUGAACUGGGAAGGAAUGGUGCCCGCUGCCCUCACCAGAGGUAUCCAUAGGGCCACUCUUGGGACCUGAGCUAACAGGAACCUGGCUUGGGGUGCUGAGUCUGCAGAGGUGGCUGUGGGGUGCAGAGAGCAUAAGAGGUGCCAUUUUCCAGCAUUCUGCCAUCUCAUUGGAAGAGGGAAGCACCCAUCCCCCGCCCCCGGGUGUGUCGGGCGGCCACGGCUGUCUGUCUGCGGGUGCUGUUCCGAGGCUGCUGGCGGGUGCUGUUGGCCUCCUUGGGCCCCAGCAUCAGCCUCUCAGUGGCCCCGUGCUCCCACCUGGAGCUGCCCACCCUGCCCCGGGGCCUGGGGACUCCUACUGCUCAGGUCCCUGCUUAGGGGUCCCGUGGGAAAGUGUGCAAGCCCUGCACCCCCUUCCUGCCACCUUGUCUCAUGUAGGGGCAGAACCCGGGCCGGGAGCCAGCCACGGAGGUCUUGGGCUGGGCCCUGCAGGCCUCUACCACUCUGGGGCUCUAGCUGGGUCGGAGGCAAGGCCACGUGUGGCAGUGGGGCCUCAGCACGUGAGGAGAGCAGCCCAAGGGACCGGCAACUGCUGUGUGGCUCUGUACCCCUGCCUUAUCUCUGGGGGCCCAGCUCCGCAUCUCCCAGUGGAGCCUCACACACCCCUCUCAGGCUGGCUCCCACUUGUCUCGGAGUCCAAAGCGCUACUGUGAUUUCAGAGCAUCUGCUCCAACCACAGGCUCCCACCUCAGUGCCUUUGCACAUCUGUUCCCAGUCCCGGAACAGGAAGUCUGCUCCAGGCCUCCUUGGCCUGCACCCUUGCUUCUCUGCUCAAGUGCCCAUAUCGGGGCGCUCUCUCCCCUCCUGCCGGGGUGGUCCCUGCCGCUCCCCCCUGACAUCCAGUACUGCCUGGGAAGUACUAGGUGCUCAGUGAAUACCCAGACGAGCACAUUUGAAUGCAAACACAGCUUGAAAGCUGGUGCUGUGGGUAGAAAGUCACACCUAGAAUUUAGAAGUGUGAUGUUUGCAAGAAUAGCACUGCGGGGGUGGGGGGGUUGGCAGGAGGGAGCGCUGCAGGCAGGGGUGCUGGGGCCACAGUCCGCGGCUGCUUCACACACAAGACUGCAGACUUCCUGGAGGCACAGGCCAAGACCCUCCUCAAAUGGCCUUGUGGCCAGCUGGGUGGAGCCUCUGUGACUGUGCCUGCUGCACUGUCAGCAGACUCAGAAGGGCUCUCGGACGGCGCGUGGGAAUCAGUCGCAGGGUUUGUCACAGAGCACCGAGAAGACCCCUCACCUAGAUGAUGGCUGUCCCAGGACAAGUUAAGGAUCUUCAGAGUGAAAACUUUCUUUUAUCUUUUAAUUUCUCCAAGUUAAGGACAUAGGGCAGUGGCCGAUGGAGAAGCUGGGGUCUGAGAGGCCCACGGGGGCUGGGGACCUGGAGGCUGAUAUUUGCUGACGGUUGAUGGAGACACGGAGGGCAGGGGCCUCCCUUACAGCAAUGCCUGGGGAGCUCCCCGCCCGAGCGUACCUGGAAAGACAUUACUGCCUAUUUGGCUUUAAAAGGUCCUGGCCUGGUCUCAACUAGGCAGUGAUCAGCCACACCCCUCGUCCCACCAAGUUCUGGGCCCUCCAGUGGUGUUGCGUAGCCCCUGGUGGGGGCCUCCCGCACAAGGGGGGUGGCCUUGGGAGGCUCCCUCUGUCACCAGCCUUAGGGCCGUAUCCCAGUCCCCGGUGCUAGACGGGAGCCAGGGUCACAGGGGGUCAUCAGCAUGGGUCAGAACAUUGGCCCAGAGGACUGCCCGCCCCCCAUACUGCCCCCCUUCUAGCCAGCUUCCCCCUCCCUCCGCCUGCCUGUUCUCCCAGCCCCAGGGGAGCCCUGCAGAACCCGGGAGCCUUCCUCCCCUCCCCACCUCCAGGAAGGCCCUGCCCAGAGGGACCACCUCCAGCACCGCCCCCUCCCUCAGCCCCCACCCCCACCCUUUCCCUUGCCUCUCCCUUCCCCCCCGGGGCCCCUUCCCUUUCCCUGACCCCUCCCUGUUUCCCUGCCGAAGGCUGUGGUCGGUCUGGUCCAGCUGGGUCUCCAUUUUCCUGGACACUCUGUGGAUUCACUCACAUGGUCUGGGGACAAGCCAGCUUCAUCCUUUCCCUGCUGUCCCUGCCCUGGGCCCCGGUCAGGACCCUUCAGGCUGGCCCAGCGGAUCUCCCCAACUUGAGUGUUUGUGGUAUGGGAAACAAAGUCAAAAGAAAAAAGUAAGUUCCCUUACUGCCUACAGCCCAGCGACAAGUCCUUGAAACAGGCAGAGUGGCAUUCCUAUAGGAGCUGGCUGCUUCCAUGAUGACACUUUGCUCAGGGCAAAAGACAAUCUUAUCCCGACCCCCCAGGGUCCUGUAAGUCUACUUUAACAUAUAAAAACUCCUUUGGAAACUUCCUUUAUCUCUACCCCCCAAGAUAUAUGCUGGCAAUCAUCCUCCCCGCUUAUGGCCCCUCAUAUACAUCUGAAGGAGACUUACUCUGUCCCUAACCCCGGCCCAACCUGAGGGUAUAUAAUCAGUCACCUGUCACAACCCCAGUGCAGCUCUUCCUGCCUACGGGUCCCGUCCCUGUGCUUUAUUUAUUUAUUUUUUUAA